CUAAUCUAGCAUCAUGGUCAAAAGGAUGCAGAUAAUGUGGGCAGUGAUGCAUACCUAUCAAAACCCAUUAGAACUUGACGAAAGAAUUCGUAAGUUAUAAGUAAAAGGGGGGACUGAAACAGGAG